GGAAAAGCCCAACUAGGUCCAUUCAUAAAGUAGCAACCCGCUGCACUGGCUGGCACCAAGACAUUUCUGUGGCCAGGGUGGUUACCAAGUCUUGUCAUCCUGGCAACAAGGAUCGUAGUGAUGGGGACUUCCACAGAUGAUGUAAGUUACACUUGAGUAUAAGGGUGUCUCUUGGUCAUUUCUGCAGCCUUAGUGUGAGCAGACUGGCACCAAGAUGGGCUUGAGGACAUCUGCUGAGCGAAUCAUCGGAGAGAAGUUCUAGGGGUCAGAGAUUCUGAGACCCUGCUGCCAGCAUGUUCAGAAGAAAUGAACAAUGAAAGCUUGUUGUUUCUCCAAAUUGACCACCUGUUACUUUAUCAUCUCAUGGAAGAAGUGGCUAGGUCUCCAUCAAGUCUCUGCUACAAAGGUCACAUGUUUGGAUCUCGUUUCAAGACUCACUAAGGAGGAUCCAGCUCCAUUUUGAAACCCCGGUCCCUGAGUUGGAGGCACCAAGUCCUCAAGCCAUGUGAGAUCCUAACCCAGACUUUGUCACCCCAUCAGCUCUGCUCCCUGAUCAAGCUCCAUUCUCCAGCAAGCAUCCCGAGCUUUUGGACAUCUUAGUUCCUCCCCCAGCCUUCACCAAACUCCUCCCUCAGCCUGGAUGCCCCUUCCUCUGCUCCCGAAGUCUUUCUGGAUGCCUGGUUUAUAACUACCACCAUUGGCAAACACCUGUAUUCACUAACCAGCCUGGCUGUGGCCAACAGUGGGGAUUAGGCUGUGAGCCUUUCUAGAUGGUCAGUGUCCCCAACAUCAAGGUUUCCCACCCUCCUUUCUAAUUGCACUCCAGCUUGGGGCAUUUUUCGUGUCAGAUGAAAUUCUGAGAAACACACCUAGAGAUGCCAGUGAGAAGAAAGCAAGGCCUGUGGGACUUUAUCCAGGAGGGCAUGGAUGGGAGGGAAGACGGCCUCGAUAGGUGUAGGAGGAGACCUAACCCUGUGAGGGGAACUAUAACUGAAGGAGUCAUGUCUGACUUUGAAUUUACAGAGCUCCUCCCACCCCCACUUAUCUGUCACCCUCCUCUGUCGGAAGCAGUGCUGUUUGGGGAAAGAAAGGAGGAGGGUAGAGGCUGGGGUCAAAGGACAGAGUGGGGAGCUCACAUCAAUGAUGUUAGCAAGAGAGGAGGAGGAAACUCUCCUGAGGGCACGGGGCUGGGUUCCAUGCAGUCCGUCAGCAGACAGGAAACAUCAGGGCAGGUGCUGAGUCUCCCCCGCCAGGCUCGAUGCCAGGAUCCUGGGCUGCCCCCCACCCCCACCCCGACCCCCACCUGUUCCUCUGUGUUCUUACUCCCUGGCUGGCCUGUGGGGGCAGUACUAGUCCCUGUCUCCUAGGGACUGUUAGGACCCAGUGGCUUAAUUCAGACAAAGUCCUUCCACAGCAGCUCCGAACAGAAGAUCUCUUUGGAAAGAAUAUUUGUUAUGGAAUAAUCCUUUUUGUACACUGUGAAUAUGUGUUGUUCUCAUUGAUUUAAUAAAGGGCUAAAUAGCCAAUAGCCAGGCAGAAAGAGGUUAGGCAGGACUUGCAGACAGGAAGAGAGCAUGGGGGAUGAAGA
ensembl:lncRNA